rnacentral:rRNA from 1 species
GGUUGACCUCGGAUCAGGUAGGGAUACCCGCUGAACUUAAGCAUAUCAAUAAGCGGAGGAAAAGAAACCAACCGGGAUUGCCUCAGUAACGGCGAGUGAAGCGGCAAGAGCUCAAAUUUGAAAGCUGGCCCCUUCGGGGUCCGCAUUGUAAUUUGCAGAGGAUGCUUCGGGUGUGGCCCCCGUCUAAGUGCCCUGGAACGGGCCGUCAGAGAGGGUGAGAAUCCCGUCUUGGGCGGGGUGUCCAUGCCCGUGUGAAGCUCCUUCGACGAGUCGAGUUGUUUGGGAAUGCAGCUCUAAAUGGGUGGUAAAUUUCAUCUAAAGCUAAAUACUGGCCGGAGACCGAUAGCGCACAAGUAGAGUGAUCGAAAGAUGAAAAGCACUUUGAAAAGAGAGUUAAACAGCACGUGAAAUUGUUGAAAGGGAAGCGCUUGCGACCAGACUCGCCCGCGGGGUUCAGCCGGCAUUCGUGCCGGUGUACUUCCCCGUGGGCGGGCCAGCGUCGGUUUGGGCGGCCGGUCAAAGGCCCCUGGAAUGUAGUGCCCUCCGGGGCACCUUAUAGCCAGGGGUGCAAUGCGGCCAGCCCGGACCGAGGAACGCGCUUCGGCUCGGACGCUGGCAUAAUGGUCGCAAACGACC